ACAUGGUCUCCAGGCUGGUGCUGGAAAUUCUAGGGCUGGUGCGUGUGCUAAGAGAUUUUUACAAUCUUUAAAGAGCAGGGCGAAUGUUCAACCUGACAUCAGAAGAAUAACACAAGCACAAAGACACAUUCUUAACUGAAAAAAUGGUGGCAGGAGGUAACUGAGAUAAGACUUCAUUGGAAUCUCGCUAGUGCCCAUCAGUGCCAUUUUUCUGGUUCAAGAUCCAUUUCAGGCAAUCUGGCAAGAUGGCCGAAUAGGAACAGCUCCAGUCUGCAGCUCCCAGCAAGACCAACGCAGAAGGCGGGUGAUUUCUG